rnacentral:snRNA from 1 species
UUACUUACCUGGACGGGGUCAAUGGGCGAUCAAAAAGGCUCAUGGCCUAGACAUUCGACCUCCAUUGCACUUCGGAGGGGUGCUUGCCUAUGGUCUUCUCAAGUAGAAGCUCCAACGUCAUAAUUUCUUACUGUGGGGGCUUGCGUUCGCGCAGCCCCUGU